AGGGAUAUAACUCAGCGGUAGAGUGUCACCUUGACGUGGUGGCAGCCUAGAAGGCAUCAGUUCGAGCCUAAUUAUCCCUA